rnacentral:rRNA from 1 species
AUAAUGGGUCAGCGACUUAUAUUCUGUAGCAAGGUUAACCGAAUAGGGGAGCCGAAGGGAAACCGAGUCUUAACUGGGCGUUAAGUUGCAGGGUAUAGACCCGAAACCCGGUGAUCUAGCCAUGGGCAGGUUGAAGGUUGGGUAACACUAACUGGAGGACCGAACCGACUAAUGUUGAAAAAUUAGCGGAUGACUUGUGGCUGGGGGUGAAAGGCCAAUCAAACCGGGAGAUAGCUGGUUCUCCCCGAAAGCUAUUUAGGUAGCGCCUCGUGAAUUCAUCUCCGGGGGUAGAGCACUGUUUCGGCAAGGGGGUCAUCCCGACUUACCAACCCGAUGCAAACUGCGAAUACCGGAGAAUGUUAUCACGGGAGACACACGGCGGGUGCUAACGUCCGUCGUGAAGAGGGAAACAACCCAGACCGCCAGCUAAGGUCCCAAAGUCAUGGUUAAGUGGGAAACGAUGUGGGAAGGCCCAGACAGCCAGGAUGUUGGCUUAGAAGCAGCCAUCAUUUAAAGAAAGCGUAAUAGCUCACUGGUCGAGUCGGCCUGCGCGGAAGAUGUAACGGGGCUAAACCAUGCACCGAAGCUGCGGCAGCGACGCUGAUGCGUUGUUGGGUAGGGGAGCGUUCUGUAAGCCUGUGAAGGUGUGCUGUGAGGCAUGCUGGAGGUAUCAGAAGUGCGAAUGCUGACAUAAGUAACGAUAAAGCGGGUGAAAAGCCCGCUCGCCGGAAGACCAAGGGUUCCUGUCCAACGUUAAUCGGGGCAGGGUGAGUCGACCCCUAAGGCGAGGCCGAAAGGCGUAGUCGAUGGGAAACAGGUUAAUAUUCCUGUACUUGGUGUUACUGCGAAGGGGGGACGGAGAAGGCUAUGUUGGCCGGGCGACGGUUGUCCCGGUUUAAGCGUGUAGGCUGGUUUUC